GGGCACGCGGGGCGCUUCCCGGGGCUCUGUGCCUGCCGGGGUGACCACCCAGUACCCGGCCAGGGCGCCCUCGUCCUCCGGGAGAAGCAGGGCCAUUUCCGGGCGGCGAUCGCUCCAGAGCGCUUGGCAGCACCAGGCCUUCUUGCCGCGGCCCCGGCGCCCCCGGCCGCAGGCUUCCCUGGCCCCCGGCUUCUCCCAGAUCCGGGCGUCCACCAGCCCACACCUAGGGUCGGGGGUGGGGGGGCCCGGGCAGACCCCUCUCCGCAGGCCGGAGAGGAAGGGCCUCGGCUCCCCCUGUGUCCGGGACAGGGCGUCCUGGGUCUCCGUGGCAGGUGGGCCGCCCCCCUCUACCAGGACCCGGCCCUGCCGGCUGCCCCCGAGCCUGGGGCCCAGCUCCCUGGAGUCCGGUAGACUUGCCUCUAUUCUGGAAUGUGGAGUCUAAGUGGGCAAACCAUCUCUCCCACCAGCCCACGUCUUCCCAGGGAGACACACCCCUCUUCACCUGGCCGCUGGUCCCGAUGUGCUCUCUGGCAAAACAUCUACCCGGAGCAGGGGGGCCUGUAUUGCCCACUGCGAGGAAGGGCCACCAAAGCUGGUGGGAACCCCGCACCAGCCGAGCAGGGCGCCUCACCGGGGAGAGGACCGUCCCCCGGUCACAUGGCCUGGUGUGGGACAAUCUGAGCGAACCCCUUCCCGCCUCUGGUGUCAAAGCUUCGCUUGGCAGCUGUUCUUCCACCAGAGAAACUGUCUCCUGUGAGGCUUCUUAAGCAUCAGCAUCCCCGCCCUGAUGGCGGCCUGGACAGCGACGUCUGUCAGAGCCUCUGCAUUCACAGCCCCUCUCGUGGGCUCGGCAAAGAGCCUGGACAGAACAGGCCGGCGAGCAGGGUCAGGGACGUGACGCCAUGGGGGCCUCCAUUCCUCCCCCACCUGGAGAGAGGGGGCCAGCGAUGAAGGUACCUGGACCGGGGGGUGGCCCCCACCCGGAGCAGAGGCUGCAGAGCCCCUGGGAGCCGAUGCCCCUGGGAUCUCCAGAUGGCUCCCCGUGGCUCCAGGUCCUUGGUGACACAGGCGCCGGCCAUGGCCGUGAGGAGGGGCCUCGAGAAGGGGACCGAGGGCACCCUGGCCCUCACCCCGGUGGGCAGCCCGCACCCUGCUCUGCUGCCCAACGGAUCGCCCGAUGUUUCCUGGGUAACUGUUUCAACCCAGCCUGUCUGCCUGGCACUCUGCACACCCAUGAAUGCCACUGCCUGGCUCCAGGCGGGCUUGCCUGUUUGGCCCCCACAGGCCAGCAGGUGAGGCCGGCACAGCCCGCUGCAUGGCUGCGUCUGAAGGCCGGGGUCCGGAGAGGGGGUGCCCAGCCCUCGAGGCCGUCCUCACGGCUGGCGGGCACUGCCAGUGGGGCAGUUGCACAGAGCAUGUGCCCCAACCCACGGUUUCACUUGGAAAUUGGAGGCUGUGCGGCCAGUGGGCUGGGCGUGCCUGCAGGCCUUUGCCCACCUGUGCUGUCUUGACGGCACUUGCCCAGUGCCCUGAUAGCAGAACCAGC
rnacentral:lncRNA from 9 species